GAAGUCGUUACUUCAACCCUUGUGGAGGAGGACGCCGAAGGUGGGGCUAAUGACUGGGGUGAAGUCGUAACAAGGUAGCCGUACCGGAAGGUGCGGCUGGAUCACCUCCUAACAGGGAGACAACAAAAUGUAAAUAUUAAUUUUGUCACCUUAGGUCGAUCGGUAUCUCAGAUUCUUAUUAUUUAAGAAUUUCAGUUUCUAAGUUUUUUCUAGGUCACACCCAUCACUUUUUCCUGGGCCAUUAGCUCAGGUGGUUAGAGCGCACCCCUGAUAAGGGUGAGGUCCCUGGUUCAAGUCCAGGAUGGCCCAUAUCUCUAUGUUGGGGGUAUAGCUCAGUUGGUAGAGCGCCUGCUUUGCAAGCAGGAUGUCAGCGGUUCGAGUCCGCUUACCUCCACUGAAUACCACCUCUUACAUAUAGUUGAAGUGGGAAAUUGUUUUGAGUCGUGUCCUAAUUUGCUCUGAGCGAAUCUAGCUUCCUAUUUUAUCCAAGAAAUAAGAUGCUGGACUCAUUGAAUUUUUUUUCAUUGUUUUCAGAGAACCUUGACAACUGCAUAGAUUAUUUUUAAAGACAAUAAGCAUCUUUAACGAUGCAGAUUUAUUAUUUGUGCGAAUGCAUUAAAUAACAAUUCUAUUAAGCUGAUGCUUCAAUUAUUGAAGUUAUUGGUCAAGCUACAAAGGGCUCACGGAGGAUACCUAGGCACACAGAGGCGAUGAA
rnacentral:misc_RNA from 1 species